GAUAAUAAACACCACUUGCAGCAGUGGCUGCCUGCCACGCUUCCACGUUGUGGUGUUUACGGUUGUCGG
rnacentral:pre_miRNA from 1 species